ACUCAAAGGAAUUGACGGGGGCCCGCACAAGCAGCGGAGCGUGUGGUUUAAUUCGAUGCGACGCGAAGAACCUUACCCAGACUUGACAUGGUCGGGCAAGCCGGGGAAACCCGGUCCUCCGCAAGGACCCGAUCACAGAUGUUGCAUGGCUGUCGUCAGCUCGUGUCGUGAGAUGUUGGGUUAAGUCCCGCAACGAGCGCAACCCUCGUGCUAUGUUGCGUAUCAUAGCAGACUGCCGGUACAAGCCGGAGGAAGGUGGGGAUGACGUCAAGUCCGCAUGGCUCUUACGUCUGGGGCUACACACACGCUACAAUGGCCGGGACAGAGCGCAGCCACGUCGCGAGGCGGAGCGAAUCGCGAAACCCGGUCUCAGUUCGGAUGGCAGGCUGCAACCCGCCUGCCUGAAGUCGGAGUUGCUAGUAACCGCGUGUCAGCAUAGCGCGGUGAAUAUGUUCCCGGGCCUUGCACACACCGCCCGU
rnacentral:rRNA from 1 species